rnacentral:rRNA from 1 species
GAUUAAGUUAUUAAGGGCGCACGGUGGAUGCCUUGGCACUAGAAGCCGAUGAAGGACGUUACUAACGACGAUAUGCUUUGGGGAGCUGUAAGUAAGCUUUGAUCCAGAGAUUUCCGAAUGGGGAAACCCAGCAUGAGUUAUGUCAUGUUAUCGAUAUGUGAAUACAUAGCAUAUCAGAAGGCACACCCGGAGAACUGAAACAUCUUAGUACCCGGAGGAAGAGAAAGAAAAUUCGACUCCCUUAGUAGCGGCGAGCGAAAUGGGAAGAGCCCAAACCAACAAGCUUGCUUGUUGGGGUUGUAGGACACUCUAUACGGAGUUACAAAGGACGACAUUAGACGAAUCAUCUGGAAAGAUGAAUCAAAGAAGGUAAUAAUCCUGUAGUCGAAAAUGUUGUCUCUCUUGAGUGGAUCCUGAGUACGACGGAGCACGUGAAAUUCCGUCGGAAUCUGGGAGGACCAUCUCCUAAGGCUAA